ensembl:lncRNA
GAUAGUAUUAGGAGUUGGUGGUAUGUGUGUUGGUGUUUCUGGGGUUUGUUUUCCUUUUUCGGCACAGGUAGGCGGGGGGCGGUGUUUGACGGCAUGCCGGCACACCUGCGGCGCAUCGGACGUCAUCAGUGGGAGCAUUUAGGGAGCUGAGUGAUGGACGUCUGAUGUCGGAUUAUUGUCGUUCCCAUAAGUGCCUGUCUCGCCGCCUGCUCGCCUGCCUGUUUCUUUGUGCGCUGGCCCAUUUUUUGGAUCUGUGACAGAGACUUACCUGGCGCUGGCCUGCGAUCGUUGUUACUCCUGUAUUCUGGUGUUUCAAGUAGCUCUGGUUUGCGCAUCUAUCUGUCUGCGUACCUUGGCUCCGUUCCGUUCCCCCUCGGCUCUGUUUAUUUGCACAUUUAUUUGGUUAUUGUAUAUAGCCCUGUCCCCUUGUAAAUAUUUCCUGAUCACGGUUAAUAAAUCUGCUUCACCGCUGUUCUGCGCCUGUGUGUGUUUCUGCCACUGAAUCCAUCUGUUUAAAUGAACCUAACAGA